AGGAGCUGGAUGAGAAGAAACUCUCAUGUCCAGUUUUACAAUAGAGAUGGAACUAAGAGGUAGUCAAAUUGGAU
rnacentral:ncRNA from 1 species